GCCCAGGGCAAAGCCGGGGAAAUCCGGUGACGCAAAGCUACAGGGACUUCCCUCUUUUGAGAAAUGUCAGCCAGUUACCGC
rnacentral:ncRNA from 1 species